GACGAACGCUGGCGGCGUGCUUAACACAUGCAAGUCGAACGGAAAGGCCCUGCUUUUGUGGGGUGCUCGAGUGGCGAACGGGUGAGUAACACGUGAGUAACCUGCCCUUGACUUUGGGAUAACUUCAGGAAACUGGGGCUAAUACCGGAUAGGAGCUCCUGCUGCAUGGUGGGGGUUGGAAAGUUUCGGCGGUUGGGGAUGGACUCGCGGCUUAUCAGCUUGUUGGUGGGGUAGUGGCUUACCAAGGCUUUGACGGGUAGCCGGCCUGAGAGGGUGACCGGCAAAAUGGGACUUGAGAUACGCCCAAGACCCUAAGGGGAGGAAGAAGGGGGGAAAAUGGAAAAAGGGGCGAAGGCUUGAGGAAGCACGGCGGGGGGGGGAAGACGGCCUUUGGGGUGGAAACCGGUUUCGGCUGGGAAGGAGGGGUAGGGACGGUAAAUGGGAAAAGAGGAACGGGUAACUUAGGG
rnacentral:rRNA from 1 species